rnacentral:misc_RNA from 1 species
AAAAUAUCUAAUUCCCACAGAAAGGGUGAAACACCAAGCUUAAGAAGAGACUAAAAAGAGCAUAUAUAUAACAACAAGUACUUAGAUUAUAUGUUCAAAGUACAAAUUCCAUAUAUGACCACAAGUACAAGAUUACUUGCUAUCAUAAUUUCUGCUAAAAGUCUAUUAUCACUAGAUUCACUAUUACUAGCACUACUGAUUACUGGUACUAGCUCAUUGCCAGGCGGUUUGUCCCUUAAAGAGUAGUUCCAAUUGUACCCACAAAUCCAAACAUGUGCUCUUAGAAAGCAAAGCAAAGCAACGUUCAUUAUAUAACCAUCUCUUUAUAGGA